rfam:Paenibacillus sp. HGF7 contig00074, whole genome shotgun sequence.
AACAUUCUUUAUUAAACAGGUUCCGGUUCUUUCUCUGGGAAGAGGGAACGGAUUAAAAGGGAAGUUCGGUGCAAUUCCGAUACGGUCCCGCCACUGUAAGGGGAAAAGGGGGGAGAAGCCCCGGCCGAAGCGCAUCACGUCACUGGUUAAUCCGGGAAGGCGCGCAUAGGGUUCCCGAGUCAGGAGACCUGCCUGUUUACCGGUAACUUC